rnacentral:rRNA from 1 species
UACCAGCACCCCGAGUGGUCGGGACGUUUAUUGGGCCUAAAGCGUCCGUAGCCGGUUCUGCAAGUCUUCCGUUAAAUCCACCUGCUUAACAGAUGGGCCGCGGAAGAUACUAUAGAGCUAGGAGGCGGGAGAGGCAAGCGGUACUCGAUGGGUAGGGGUAAAAUCCGUUGAUCCAUUGAAGACCACCAGUGGCGAAGGCGGCUUGCCAGAACGCGCUCGACGGUGAGGGAUGAAAGCUGGGGGAGCAAACCGG